ensembl:snoRNA
AACCCAGUCAAUGAAUCUGCUUACCUGAAUAUGUUUCUGCAGAAAUUUGGAAAAUGCUGGUAAAAGGAAAGCCAUGUUAUAAGCCUUAAAAACACUGAAAGUCAUUAAGGUCCCUGAAAAUGGCUAUAAGA